rnacentral:snRNA from 1 species
AUACUUACCUGGCAGGGGAGAUACCAUCAUCACGAGGGUGGUUCUCCCAGGGCGAGGCUCACCCAUUGCACCCCAGAUGUGCUGACCCCUGUGACUUCCCCAAAUGUGGGAAACUUGACUGCAUAAUUUGUGAUAGUGGGGAACUGCCUUCCUGGUUUCCCCUGC